CAAAAUACUGUCUGCAUCCUCUACCACAUGAGAAAAUCACUUUCACCUGCUACAGCAUCUUUUACCUCAGAAGGAACAGCCUUCUGUUUAAAAUACAGUACACCCGCUCUGGAGGGAUGUGUCAGGAAGUUUCACCCUGCUGAAGUCCUUUAUUCUGACAUUUGAAUUGGAGACAUCAGGAUUUCCCAAUAGGAAGACUGGACCCACUGUGUCUUUGGACUUCUUAUGGAAUACACAGACUAUUCUGCAAGUGCUUGGAGCUGGAGAAAUGCCUGUAACAGCUGGAAUCAUAUUUAAUGACAAGCCAAGGAAGGAACACCCUGAUCUAUGAAAUAAAGAUGAGA